AGAGUUUGAUCAUGGCUCAGAUUGAACGCUGGCGGCAUGCCUUACACAUGCAAGUCGAACGGUAACGCGGGGCAACCUGGCGACGAGUGGCGAACGGGUGAGUAACGCAUCGGAACGUGCCCAGUAGUGGGGGAUAGCCCGGCGAAAGCCGGAUUAAUACCGCAUGCGACCUACGGGUGAAAGCGGGGGACCGCAAGGCCUCGCGCUUCUGGAGCGGCCGAUGUCAGAUUAGGUUGUUGGUAGGGUAAAGGCCUACCAAGCCUGCGAUCUGUAGCUGGUCUGAGAGGACGACCAGCCACACUGGGACUGAGACACGGCCCAGACUCCUACGGGAGGCAGCAGUGGGGAAUUUUGGACAAUGGGCGCAAGCCUGAUCCAGCCAUGCCGCGUGCGGGAAGAAGGCCUUCGGGUUGUAAACCGCUUUUGUCAGGGAAGAAAUAGCUCGGGCUAAUACCCCGAGUUGAUGACGGUACCUGAAGAAUAAGCACCGGCUAACUACGUGCCAGCAGCCGCGGUAAUACGUAGGGUGCAAGCGUUAAUCGGAAUUACUGGGCGUAAAGCGUGCGCAGGCGGCUUCGCAAGACAGAGGUGAAAUCCCCGGGCUCAACCUGGGAACUGCCUUUGUGACUGCGAGGCUUGAGUAUGGCAGAGGGGGAUGGAAUUCCGCGUGUAGCAGUGAAAUGCGUAGAUAUGCGGAGGAACACCGAUGGCGAAAGCAGUCCCCUGGGCCUGUACUGACGCUCAUGCACGAAAGCGUGGGGAGCAAACAGGAUUAGAUACCCCGGUAGU
rnacentral:rRNA from 1 species